AUAGCUCAUUAACAAACAUUACUGAUCAGUAGUGUACAUUUGGAUACAAAUAUGGUGGGUGUAAAAUAUUAAAGUGUUAAGCAAAAUCACCACUUUAUGUGUGUGUCUUGUUGUUGCCUUUGUGAUUUAUAGCAUUUAGGUUAGACACUAAUGGUGCCUCAGAGAUGACGAUCUUUAAGUAAAGUCACUGAAAUUCACAUGCCACACUCUUGUAUCUCUUACCACACAGUACACCAGUGGCUCUCAAUUCCAGUCCAAGGCCCCACCACCACAAUCAAUGCUCAAACUUGCACAAACAAUGCACUACUCAAGUUUCGUCAUUGCAGAGAGUAGAGUAAUUGUCAUUCAUUCCAUGUGCAGUGAUGUUGUUAAAACGUCACCAUCAUUAAUUAUGUGACCAAUGAGCUGCCGCCCAGUUAGGGUAUAUAAGUUGGUUGGUUCUGCCUUUUGGAGUGUGUCAUGGUCGAAUGCCUGCCCCUUCCUUUCUGUUAUGGACUACUAAGUGUGGUGUUGGGCUGCUGAGAUGUACUAUUUGCGAUAUGCUGUUUGCUCUCAGUGUGGUGUGCCUUCAUGGCUCCCAAUGAUUGUGGCUCCACAGUAUAACGUAGCCCAGGUCGCAGCUCCAGCUGUUGUCGCUUUAGCCUUUAAAGAAGAGUCUUUAAAGAGGUUGUCAUGAUCCUUGGAUCUGUUGUCAUGAGCAUUUCACCAUCGUAUUAUCGGGUUGAGCGGGAGCAAUAACACAGCUUGUUUCCCAUUCUUCAUUGGUUUAGCCACGCUGCUGCUUUUGGAGUUUAAUUAUGUCCAUGUCUAGCAUCCAAGUGGACUUGUUUGUUUUUUGUUUUGAGUGAUUGUAAUUUGUUUUCUUUUACUUUAUGAACUCUUUCUAAAAAGUUGAUUUGUAUUCCUUUUUGUUUCUGUUAUUCAGUUAAUUUGUGGUUUAUUAUCUAAUGUGAUCUGUUUUCUUUUG